CUCCUCCCUCUUUCACCCCCACGACACAAACGCGUGCCGCCACCAUACUCGUGGAACUAUCAGAGGAGGAACGGAUCCAGCCGAGGCGCCACGAGGGGAUCGGCGAGGGGACGCGCUCCAGCCGAGGCCCCACAAGAGGAUCGCCCAUCUCUCCUGCCUCUUGUCACUAGCGACCUCAACCUUGGGCGGAUCUAAGGUCCGCCGCCGCCACCGGCUCACAGAUCGAGGUCUUAUUCAGGACUCGGAACAACGGGCAAGACUCUGCUCAGUUCUUUUCUAAGUAGUAAUGCGAGGAUGAUGAUGAGUUCUGCAUGAAACAAGGCUAAUUGGUGUUCAACACGGUUUUGGUCAAAUGAUUCGGGCGAAUAUUGAGGCUGGUUCUCAUAUUUUGGUUCAGGGAAUUUUUCAAACUACAAGGGCUACUAGCCAGUUCACCUGGUAUACAAGAUAAAAUCUGGGAUGUAUGUACAAGAUCAAGAUUGAAGCUUUUUGUAGUACUGGUACAAGAUGGAAGACUCCUCCGCUUUACCUAUCUUCUCGCAAGCACUGUGAUGAAACCCUAUCCAUGCUCUAGCGGCGCUGCCGCCCUUGCAAUGCGCGUCUGCACCAUUGCAGUAGCCGUAGCCGGUGAUCCCAAGAUUAACAAGUACUAGCAUUCCUGCAAUGAUUAGAUUUUCGUUAGGGGGCUGACAACCUCUCUUUCUUAUCUUCAUUCAGUGGUUGAAAGAUUGUCUACCAAAUAUGUGCUGCAAUGAUUAUCUUCAUUCAGUGGUUGAAAGAUUGUCUUACCAAUGAUUAGAAACUGUUCAGACGCAAGAAACACUCCGGCGCCGCGGCCGACAGUGACAACUUCGGCGGCCUCUUCUCCGCCGACCAGCUCGUCCUCGACUUCCCCAGCUUCAGCGACUUCGAUGGGUUCCAGAAGGCGACCGAGGAGAUGGUGAACAACAAGAAGGGGUCGACCACGCUCUCCUCCAUCUUCGAAAAAGGCGUCAUCGUCGCCGCCGACUCCUGGGCCAGCAUGGGCGGAUACAUAUGUAAUCCUGCAUCUAUUUUCCAUGGCAUCAUAUAAGACUUGUAUUAUAGUAUUUUCAGUAUACACAUCCUGCAUAAACUGUUUAGUGGGAAUGCUUUCUUCAAAUUCUCUGGCAAGGUGCUUCACACAUAGAUAGAAUGCUUAUCAUUAGUUGGUGGUUCAGUUAGUUUAAAGGUGAAUGGUGUAUAAGAAGCUCGCUUGCUGGUUGGUAAAUGGUAAUUUUAUUCUUCCAGUAAGAUAUCUUUGACAACUGUCAUAUUCUGUUCGGUGCUUACACAUGUAAGAGGUAGCAAUGUUUCUUGUAUUAUAUUAUUUGCACUAUACACAUCCUGUAUAAACUGUUUAAUGGGAAUGCUUUCUCCAAAUUAUCUGGCAAGCUCCUUCACACAUAGACAGCAUGCUUUUUAGUUUGUGCUUCAGUUAGUUGAAAUGUGAAUGCUGUAUAAGAAGCCCGGUUAGUGCUUGCUACAGAGUAAUUUUAUUUAUCCCAGUAAGAGAUCUUUCAAAUAUAUCAAAUUUUGUUUGGUACUUACAUAUGUAAAAUACGGCAAUGUUAGCCAUGUGAAUUCAAAAAUAUUUGCACACCAUACGACAAGGUGAACUAACUUGGAUCUUUUUGUAUGAUCUGAUUAGUCUGUACUACUUUGCGUCAUCUAUAUAUAUGUGUGUGUGUGUGUGCGUGUGUGUGUGUGUGUGUGUGUGUGUAACAAGAUGUGCUCUUCACUUGUAUUGUAUACAUCUUGAUCUAACGUUAUUGGACUCAAUUCAGCUAUAAUUAAUUUCUGGAGAUGGACCUGGAUCUAGAUGACAGGAUUGUACAUAAAUCGCCUUCAUGCAACCAACAGCAGUAGUGUUGUCAAGAUGAGGCGGUUGAAGAGGAGAUGGGAAUGACAAACCUGUUCUGCUUCCUUGAGAACCAAACGAUUUGCCUAGAGAAGACGGAAUCAACGAUUGCUUUGUGAUGUGCAAGGUUCAACGCUAAUUUUGGGCAGGACAGGGACAUCCACAGCCACGCAUACAUUUCUGCUUCCUUUCUGUUCCAGAAAACAAGUGGUCAUUACAUAAAAACUUUGAAAGAAGGUUUUACUCAUCAGUUACAAAUACGUAGUCAAGAAUGAAAACUGAAAAGCCAUAAGCUCUUUAUUAUUGGCCGCGUAUUAAUAAGCAUAUAAUAAUCAUUAACUUGCCUCUUGACAUAACUUCUAUGGCAAGAAUUAAGACGACA